rnacentral:tRNA from 1 species
GGAGAGGUGGCCGAGUGGCUUAAGGCGGCGGUCUUGAAAACCGUUGUGGGGAAACUCACCGGGGGUUCGAAUCCCUCCCUCUCCGCCA